AGAAAUUCAGUGAAGAGAAGAAGUAGAAACAGUGUAAGCGUUUCCAGAGAACUGUCGGUGCUGAGAGACAGUAACCUUCCUGCUUUGAAGAUCAUCUCUGAGAAGGAAAGUCGAAAGAAGUGUCGAAUAGGCUUUCACGGGCGUUUCCCGUUACAGAAACCGCGUAUGCUGGUGCGUUGUAUUCGUGCUUGUUUCAAGGAGGAAACAGGGUGGUUGCGGAAUAAUUUUAUCCGUCCCUAGU
rnacentral:ncRNA from 1 species